GGCAAGCAAGCUUGGUUCACAAAGGGUUCAUCAUGCUGCCAGGGCAGGUGGCGGAGCCAGGUGGCUUCUGGGAGCUUCUCUUGUUCUUAUUGAAGGUUUCUCUUGGGUGCUUCUGGCGUGUCAUUAUGAACAGUGAGAACAUUUGCUUAGCAACCACAAAAUUGCCCAAGGCAGACAGACCUGUCUAGGAAUCCUGACUCCACCAGCCCCUAGUUUCGCCUCAGCCCAAUGGAGAAGAUCUAUUAUUAGCCCUGGCUUUCUAGAGGAGAAAGCCGAGUCACAGGGAGAUUAAGAGGCUUGCCUGAAGUCAUGGAGCUAAUGGGUUUGGAACCAGGACUUGAACAGAAACCAUCCAGCUCCAGAACCCACAAGUUUGGAUGUCCUUUAUGUAAUUUUCCUGUCUCUGUUCUUCUUGAAAUCUGGUCCAAUGCUAUCCAGAAUUGUGAACAGACAAGGAGGUAAAAACCUGUGUGUGGUUCUGAAGUGUCAUCGUUCAGAGGCUUCCAACAGGAGGGAGGAGAAACAGACACCAGCCAUGUUUGGAAACCCAAUGCACUCCAUGGAUUGUCACUUGUCAUACACCCCUUCCCUUUGAGAACCAAGUUCUCUCCUCUGGUGGGAAAAUUAACUUCAUGCUUUAAAGACAAGAGGUUUCAAGAAACUCCAAAUGUCCAGUGGCCCUGCAAAACAUGGUGAUAAUUUGGGAGAGGCCAAUCAGAAGCAUAUGGGUUAGAUUUUGUCCGAAAUCACAUGAAGAUUUUAAUAGAGAAGUUCUCAAGAGAACAAGCAUGUUUUGAUAUUCCUUUCUCAAAUCCCAAACAUUUGAGAGAUGCCAUUGAAAGUCUCCUCAAAGUAAAACAAAUGAAAAGUCUUUUAAGUUUUAGAACUUGAAAAGCCUCGUAGGUUAUCUUGUCUUUCUGUAUAGUAGACUAAAUUCCUAGUAUAAAAUCGUCUAGAAGAGGUCAAAACAAAACAAAACAAUAACACGUAGCCCAAGUUCAAUAUCUCUUUUCUGUCACUCUUUUCCGCCACUCCUGGGAACGAGGGGAGGCUAUUUGAAUUGUCACAAGUUUAGUUUUCCUUGUGUGUUAAAUAGGGCUAUUGAUUCACGAAGUUGUAGAUGAUGGAAGAUAUCUACAACAUCACUGUGUAAGUUUUGGACUACAGCUAAACCUUGAUAAUGUUCUUUCAAUUGGUUUUGUUAUAAUGUUAAAUAGAAUUUGUCCAUAUACAGCAUUUUUCUCAUUCUUUUAAUAUACAGUGGUAAUUUUAAAAAGAGAAGGAGAAGCUUGGGAUUAGCUAGCUAAUCACUUAAAUACGUUAUUUUUGAUUGUAUCAGAAUUGGAUAUAAUACUUUCUCUACUAUUUAUUAAUUUUAUGUGUUUGCCAAGGGAAUUGACUUCUCUAAGCCUCCCUUCUCCAACUACAGUUGUCUUCUAGUAUGCUGUGAGGAUGAAAUAAUCCAUGUGAUUUGUUUGACUUAGCACUAUGGCUUGUAAUUGCUAAAAAGAAAAAGCAAUCAGCACCAUUAUCAUCCAUGACAAAUAGUUACUAAUUUCUUAUUUCUCCCUGUAUUAAACAUCCCAAUCCACUUAGGUACAUCAGAUAUCCAUCCAAAAUAAAACAUUACAAGUACAAUUGCUGGGUACUUGGCUGCAUCUUUUGUUUCCUUCUGGGGUCAACUCGACUUAAUGUCAUCCUUGAGAUUUAUCUUCAAGCAGUAUUAGAAAGUACACAUUUCUUGAAAAGAUGGUGUCUGGCUAUAGUUUUACUACAAUUGACAUCAUUGUAAUCACAGAAUAUCACAGGGAGUUUUGAUUUCCUUCUUCUAAAACAAAGGAUAAAUUAAAUUUUUAUGUCAUAGGGAAAGGUCAUAGAAUGAACCAGUUUCAUAAUUUUAACUGUUCUUAAGCCACAAUGCUACAAUAAGAAUGAGAGAUCCUUGGUACCUACUUUCAUUCUGCAUCUUCUUGAGAAGUCUAAACCACCAAAGUCACCCCCAGGGACCAACUUCAUCAAGUUAGGCUCCACCUAAACUUACCAGAAUCUCCUCAAAUCGUGUUACUGUCUGGGGACUAAGCAUUUAAUAUAUGAGUCUAUGGAUGACAUUUCCUAGUCAAGCCAUAACAGAGCCUCACAUUGCGCUAAAUGAGAGGAAUUUAAAAACGUGUAAAAUACAAUCCUUCACCCUAGGCAUCUCACAAAUAAACUGAGGUAUUUGAGACUACUAAGAUGGAAAAUUUCCCCCAUGAAAGAGCAUUUUAUAGCAGGGGAAGCAGGAGACACUAAUUGACAUGAUGACAUGAUCAAGGCACUAGGGGAGAAGGUGAACUAGUGGUGCUCAGCGUGAGUUAUCCUAUUUAAUUCUUACAACAUUAUAUUAUAUGUGUAUCCUUCGA